rnacentral:rRNA from 1 species
AAUGAACGUUGGCGGCGUGGAUUAGGCAUGCAAGUCGAGCGAGAACCGUAGCAAUACGGGGACAGCGGCGAAAGGGAGAGUAACACGUGGAUACCUACCCUCAGGUUCAGGAUAGCUGCGGGAAACUGCAGGUAAUACUGAAUAACAUCUCCGGAUCAAAGGUGUGAUUCCGCCCGGGGAGGGGUCCGCGUCCUAUUAGCUAGUUGGCGAGGUAACGGCUCACCAAGGCGACGAUGGGUAUGGGGUGUGAGAGCAUGCCCCCACUCACUGGGACUGAGACACUGCCCAGACACCUACGGGUGGCUGCAGUCGAGAAUCUUCGGCAAUGGGGGAAACCCUGACCGAGCGACGCCGCGUGCGAGAUGAAGGCCUUCGGGUUGUAAAUCGCUGUCAGAGGGGAGGAAAUGCCGGUGGGUUCUCCCAUCGGUUUGACCUAUCCUCAGAGGAAGGACGGGCUAAGUUCGUGCCAGCCGCCGCGGUAAGAC